GACGAACGCUGGCGGCGUGCUUAACACAUGCAAGUCGAACGGAAAGGCCCUGCUUGCAGGGUACUCGAGUGGCGAACGGGUGAGUAACACGUGGGUGAUCUGCCCCGCACUUCGGGAUAAGCCUGGGAAACUGGGUCUAAUACCGGAUAGGAGCCAUUUUUAGUGUGAUGGUUGGAAAGUUUUUUCGGUGUAGGAUGAGCUCGCGGCCUAUCAGCUUGUUGGUGGGGUAAUGGCCUACCAAGGCGGCGACGGGUAGCCGGCCUGAGAGGGUGGACGGCCACAUUGGGACUGGGAUACGGCCCAGACUCCUACGGGAGGCAGCAGUGGGGAAUAUUGCACAAUGGGCGCAAGCCUGAUGCAGCGACGCCGCGUGGGGGAUGACGGCCUUCGGGUUGUAAACUCCUUUCGCUAGGGACGAAGCUUUUUGUGACGGUACCUAGAUAAGAAGCACCGGCUAACUACGUG
rnacentral:rRNA from 1 species